AACGUACUCCCUUCGUUCGGAAUUACUUGUCAUAAAGAUGAAUGUAUCUAUAAUUAAAAUACAUCUAAAUACAUUUAUGUUUUGGACGAGUAAUUCCGAAUGAAAGGAGUACAAU
rfam:Triticum aestivum genome assembly, contig: Triticum_aestivum_CS42_TGACv1_scaffold_404758_5BL